rnacentral:piRNA from 1 species
UAAAGGCUACAGCCAGUGUUUGGGCUAUGGU